rnacentral:rRNA from 1 species
AGUGAACGCUGGCGGUAGGCCUAACACAUGCAAGUCGAACGGCAGCACAGUAAGAGCUUGCUCUUACGGGUGGCGAGUGGCGGACGGGUGAUGAAUACAUCGGAAUCUACUUUUUCGUGGGUGAUAACGUAGGGAAACUUACGCUAAUACUGCAUACGACCUACGGGUGAAAGCAGGGGAUCUUCGGACCUUGCGCGAUUGAAUGAGCCGAUGUCGGAUUAGCUAGUUGGCGGGGUAAAGGCCCACCAAGGCGACGAUCCGUAGCUGGUCUGAGAGGAUGAUCAGCCACACUGGAACUGAGACACGGUCCAGACUCCUACGGGAGGCAGCAGUGGGGAAUAUUGGACAAUGGGCGAAAGCCUGAUCCAGCCAUACCGCGUGGGUGAAGAAGGCCUUCGGGUUGUAAAGCACUUUUGUUGGGAAAGAAAAGCAGCAGGUUAAUACCCCGCUGUUCUGACGGUACCAAAAGAAUAAGCACCGGCUAACUUCGUG